AUUGAACGCUGGCGGCAGGCCUAACACAUGCAAGUCGAACGAGUGGCGGACGGGUGAGUAAUGUCUGGGAAACUGCCCGAGGGAGGGGGAUAACUACUGGAAACGGUAGCUAAUACCGCAUACCAGCGGAUGUGCCCAGAUGGGAGUAGCUAGUAGGUGGGGUAACGGCUCACCAAGGCGACGAUCCCUAGCUGGGCUGCGAGGAUGACCGGCCACACUGGGACUGAGACACGGUCCAGACUCCUACGGGAGGCAGCAGUGGGGAAUAUUGCACAAUGGACGCAAGCCUGAUGCAGCCAUGCCGCGUGUAUGAAGAAGGCCUUCGGGUUGUAAAGUACUUUCAUCGAGGAGGCGUUACUCGCAGAAGAAGCAACGGCUAACUCCGUGCCAGCAGCCGCGGUAAUUC
rnacentral:rRNA from 1 species